CUCAGAUGGAACUUUAAGCCUGUGGGGAGAGACCCAGCACUUGGAUGGCAGAGAUACUGAGCUGUUUCUCUGGAUUUAAGGGAAUUUGGGCAACAAGAGGAGCCAAUUCUCUGCAUCAGCUCCACUGCCCAGGCCUAAGCAUGUCCAACCCAACAUUUUGCAUUGGCUGCAUCACAUGAAAACCCUCUGUUGCACCCUGCCAGAUGCUGCUGCUCCUGACACUGCUGCUCCUGUAGCCAAGUCCUGCCAAAUCCGGGAAGCAUUCCCACCCCUCACUCAGGGUGCUGAUGGCUGAAGAAACAUGCUCAGUUUUUUUGGGA